rnacentral:rRNA from 1 species
CAUAUCAUAGCGGAGGAAAAGAAACCUACAAGGGAUUUCCCCUAGUAACUGCGAGUGGAAGCGGGAAAAGCUCAAAUUUAAAAUCUGGCAGUCUCUGGCUGUCCGAGUUGUAAUCUAGAGAAGUGUUAUCCGCGCUGGACCGUGUACAAGUCUCCUGGAAUGGAGCGUCAUAGAGGGUGAGAAUCCCGUCUUUGACACGGACUGCCAGGGCUUUGUGAUGCGCUCUCAAAGAGUCGAGUUGUUUGGGAAUGCAGCUCAAAAUGGGUGGUAAAUUCCAUCUAAAGCUAAAUAUUGGCGAGAGACCGAUAGCGAACAAGUACCGUGAGGGAAAGAUGAAAAGAACUUUGGAAAGAGAGUUAAACAGUACGUGAAAUUGCUGAAAGGGAAACGCUUGAAGUCAGUCGCGUUGGCCAGGGAUCAACCUUGCUUUUGCUUGGUGCACUUUCUGGUUGACGGGUCAGCAUCAAUUUUGACUAUUGGAAAAAGGUCAAGGGAAUGUGGCAUCUUCGGAUGUGUUAUAGCCCUUAGCUGCAUACAAUGGUUGGGAUUGAGGAACUCAGCACGCCGCAAGGCCGGGUUUUAACCACGUACGUGCUUAGGAUGCUGGCAUAAUGGCUUUAAUCGACCCGUCUUGAAACACGGACCAAGGAGUCUAACAUGCCUGCGAGUGUUUGGGUGGAAAACCCGAGCGCGCAAUGAAAGUGAAAGUUGAGAUCCCUGUCGUGGGGAGCAUCGACGCCCGGACCAGACCUUUUGUGACGGUCCCGCGGUAGAGCAUGUAUGUUGGGACCCGAAAGAUGGUGAACUAUGCCUGAAUAGGGUGAAGCCAGAGGAAACUCUGGUGGAGGCUCGUAGCGAUUCUGACGUGCAAAUCGAUCGUCAAAUUUGGGUAUAGGGGCGAAAGACUAAUCGAACCAUCUAGUAGCUGG